UGCAUGACUGGGGUCACGUCCAGGUUCAGUAGGGACCUGUGAGUAAAGGUUGUGAGGCAGCCCAGUCCAUCAAACAGAGCUGGCCAGUUCUGUUGCCAGGUGCAGGUAGCCUGGUCGAUAGUGUCAUGUAUUGUCAUGUUGUGUCUUGUUUCUGUCCUUUCCCUUCACCCUGUCUCCCUCUGCUGGUCGUUAUUAGGUUACCUUUUCUCCCCCUCUUUCCCCCAGCUGCCCCCAGCUGUUCCUUGUCUCCUCCUAACUACCUCGUCACCCCUUUUCCCACCUGUUCCCUUUUUCCCUCUGAUUAGUCCUCUAUAUCUCUCUCUGUUUUUGUUUCUGUCUUUGUCGGAUUCUCGUUUGUGUUUCUCAUGCCUGAACCAGACUAUCGUCGUGUUUGCUGCAACCUUGUCCUGUCCUGUCGGAAUCUGCCAGUUCAUCUAACCUUGUCCUGUCCUGUCGGAAUCUGCCUGUCCAUCUGAGCCUACAUGUGUUUCGUCAUUAAAGAAACUCUGUUUUGUUAAUUCGCUUUUGGGUCCUCAUUCACGCACCUGACAGAUAGCAGACCCACUGUCAUCUCUCAGUCAUCUCC
rnacentral:lncRNA from 13 species